CUCCAGAGCAGCAUCCUUAUAUGUGUGCCGGACCCGGUCAUGUGACCAAACACACAGUAAUGACCUCAGAGAUAAGGGAAGGAAGAAAAUCCUCCCACGUGUUGUGGUUAACACUAAUUGGAGGUUAGCCAAUCAGACACACUCUGUGUAACCUCCCCUUUGCCUCAGUGCCCUGUUGUGGUCUUUGGAGGGAGAGGGGAACUGCAGGAUUCUGCAGUGCCAGGAAAACAGGUUUGUUUUCCUGGGACUGGAGACUCCCUUUAAGGCACAAUCUUAAAAAUCUUUUGCUAUAAAAAUGUGGAGGUACACAUCUUUCAGAUUCAAAGAAGCUAGAAAAUCCCCCUUUCUAAUCAGAUGAUUU